UCCAGGUUCCGGUACCAGGUUCCGGUUCCUGUAUCGCUGUAUCGUUGUAUCGCUGUAUCGCUUUUUAGUAGUAGCCGUUGUGCCAUAGGUUUAUAGGAAACUCGAUUCAGACAUAAUAGUUUAUAGACCUCAUUAUUUAUGUUUUUCGCUUCAUCGUCACGUGUGUAUUGUUUUUUUCGCUUGAGCAAACAAUAGCAGUGUGUUGGUUUAGUUACCCAGUCAUAUUACACAAUGGGGCCAAAAAAAAUGUGGGUUUCCGGUUUCUUCUUAUAAAAACUUAGCUAGGGUAGGUCGGUUUUAACUUUUUUUUUAAAACUUUUUUUUUUAAUUUUCCGAACAAGCGGACGCCAUUUUGUUUAGUCAGUGCUUCCACAUCCAAA